rnacentral:lncRNA from 1 species
AUAGUUUGAAGAGUUUAAUAUUCUGCAUCACGGCAGAAGCUUGAGGAUCAUCUACAUUAGAUCGAAGUGAGUUGAACGUGAGAAAAACAUAAGGAGGGAAGUUGAAUUGUGUUGGUUUUUUGCAGUUUCUUUUUCUGAGUGUUUAAAAACUUGGUCAGAAUCUGAGGUAUGCAGAUUGUGACUCAAGAGUCUGAAUAUUGUGGAUUAAGUAUAUAACACAAAGAUAAAGAGAUAUAGAGAGAGAUAGCAGACACAAAACAAUCAUAUACUAGUUCCUUCCACAACACAGGAGUAGUCCACUCCCCUUGCAGUUCUAAGAGAUUUCACUAUAAUCACUCAUGAUUACAAAUUGCUCAAGGACUCUUCCAAGAGACUUCUUAAUGCUCAAGCACAACUGCAAUCGAUUUCCUGCUCUAGGACACUACCUAAAGACUUCUUGCUCAAGAACAACUCCAAGAGACUUCUCUUUACUUUAGGACAACUCCUAAGGACUUCCCUAGCUCAAUCAGAACUGACUGAGACUUCCUAGGUGCUUGAUAACCGGCAAAUCAGUUGGUUAUCAUGUUGCACUAAACCCCUAUAUUGGACAAGUUGUUGAGUGAUUGCAUUGUCUUUAACAUCUAAUUAGUGUCUAUUUUAGGAUUUUUAUAGUUUUAUGUGCUUUUAGUACUUUGGAACUAGUAAUGCUUAUUUAUGUUGUUUGAUGAUGUAGGUUAAGGAAUGACUUUGAAGAUGUAGGAAGUUGCAGCAUGGAUUGAAGAUGUAUCACUAAAGAUGUGGAAAGCUGCAUCAUCCUGGGACGCUAGCCGGGUCGUACAUAGCACGCAUAUGUGGGUCCAGUCUGUCCCUUUUUUAUUGAGGAAGAAUAUGAGUUGUCCCUAAUGAUUGGAAUUGUAACACCCCGUUAUCCCAACAUCUAAAUAUUAAAUAAAAUAAAUCAGAGUUCAACAAUAAACGGGAAUGUCAC